rnacentral:tRNA from 1 species
UUAUAUUUCUAUUUAUAUAGUUUAAAAUAAAACCUUACAUUUUCAUUGUAAAAUUAAAUUUACAUUUU